rnacentral:rRNA from 1 species
GAUGAACGCUGGCGGCGUGCCUAAUACAUGCAAGUCGAGCGAACAGACGAGGAGCUUGCUCCUCUGACGUUAGCGGCGGACGGGUGAGUAACACGUGGAUAACCUACCUAUAAGACUGGGAUAACUUCGGGAAACCGGAGCUAAUACCGGAUAAUAUAUUGCACCGCAUGGUUCAAUAGUGAAAGACGGUUUUGCUGUCACUUAUAGAUGGAUCCGCGCCGCAUUAGCUAGUUGGUAAGGUAACGGCUUACCAAGGCAACGAUGCGUAGCCGACCUGAGAGGGUGAUCGGCCACACUGGAACUGAGACACGGUCCAGACUCCUACGGGAGGCAGCAGUAGGGAAUCUUCCGCAAUGGGCGAAAGCCUGACGGAGCAACGCCGCGUGAGUGAUGAAGGUCUUCGGAUCGUAAAACUCUGUUAUUAGGGAAGAACAAAUGUGUAAGUAACUAUGCACGUCUUGACGGUACCGAAUCAGAAAGCCACGGCUAACUACGUG